rnacentral:rRNA from 1 species
UACGGAGGAUCCGAGCGUUAUCCGGAUUUAUUGGGUUUAAAGGGUGCGUAGGCGGUCCGGAAAGUCAGCGGUAAAAGCCCGGGGCUCAACCCCGGCGAGCCGUUGAAACUGUCGGACUAGAGACGGCGAGAAGUACGCGGAAUGCGCGGUGUAGCGGUGAAAUGCAUAGAUAUCGAGAGGAACACUCGUGGCGAAGGCGGGUUCCUGGACAUUAACUGACGCUGAGGCACGAAGGCCAGGGGAGCGAAAGGG